rnacentral:lncRNA from 1 species
AGAAGAUGAUGUUACUUUCAAUAUGACAGAAGGUGGAUGAAGUGGUGGACUGCCCCUCCACACCUGUGGACACGCCCCCACUGAUAUUCCUUCUAAUUGCAGCGUGGGAGAGGAGGAUAUGACACGCGAUAUCGCAGGGAGUAGAAACACCCCUGUGAUACUGUUCUUAAUAUUCAGGGAGGAAGAGGAUGAUAUUACUCCCAAUACAGACGGGUGUACACCCUCUGUACACCGAGGGUGUACACCUGUCUGUGAAAGAGUUCGUAAUCUCCAGAGGGGGAGAUGAUAUUACUCACAAUAUGGUAAAGAGGCUGUGAGUCCACGGAGGAUCCUCAGAGCCAGCGGGGGAAGAGGGGCUGGCUCUCAGUCCCCGCCUCGCGGGGGUGACUCCCCCCAGUGCGAUGGGGGUCCUAAGAGCCAGUGGGGGAAGAGGGGCUGGCUCUGAGACCCCGCCUCGCGGGGGGUGCCUCCCCGCCCUGUGAUGGGGGUCCGAAGAGCCAGAAGGCUUAGAGGGGCUGGCUCUCAGUCCCCGCCUCGCGGGGGGUGCCUCCUCCCCCUGCGAUGGGGGUCGUAAGAGCCACUGGGGGAAUAGGGGCUUGCUCUCAGUCACCGCCUCGCGGGGGGUGCCUCCUUUCCUUUCUACAUAGACACAGUGACAGUCUGAUCUCUCUUUCUUUUCCCUACAGAUGGACACGCCCCCACUGAUAUUGUUUUUAAUGCAGCGUGGGAGGGGAGGAUAUGACACGCGAUAUCGCAGGUAGUAGAAACACCCCUUUGAUAGUGUUCUUAAUAUUCAGGGAGGAAGAAGAUGAUGUUACUCCCAAUACAGACGGAUGUACACCCUCUGUACACCGAGGGUGUACACCCGUCUGUGAAGGAGUUCGUAAUCUCCAGAGGUGGAGAUGAUAUUACUCACAAUAUGGUAAACAGGCUGUGAGUCCAUCGCGGAUCCUCAGAGCCAGGUGGGGAAGAGGGGCUGGCUGUCAGUCCCCUCCUCGCGGGGGGUGCCUCCCCCACUGCUAUGGGGAUCCCAAGAGCCAGUGGGGGAAGAGGUGCUGGCUCUCAGUCUCCGCCUCGCGAGGUGCCUCCCCACCCUGCGAUCGGGGUCCGAAGAGCCAGGGGGGAAGAGGGGCUGGCUCUCUUCGUGGAUGAUUCUUUUUCCAUUCUCAGGCAGUUUUCUUUUUUCUUUCUUUCUUUUUUUUUUUUUUUGAGACUGAGUCUUGCUCUGUUGCCCAUGCUUUGCUCGAUCUCGGGUGACUGCAACCACUGCCUCCCAGGUUCAAGAGAUUCUCCUGCCUCAGCCUCCUGAGUAGCUGGGACUAGAGGCGUGUGUCACCACACCCAGCUAAUUUUUGUAUUUUUAGUAGAGAUGGGGUUUCACCAUGUUUGCCAGGAUGGUCUCUAUCUCCUGCCCUUGUGAUCCACCCACCUCAGCCUCCCAAAGUGCUGGGAUUGCAGGUGCGAGCCACCGGGUCCAGCCUCUCAGGCGAUUUUCAUACCUGCAUACUCUGGUCACUACUCUGUUAAACAGUCAAGGAGGCUGAGUGCCACGUGCUGACGUCACUAAGAUCAAUACAGCAAACUCUGAAAGAUGGACAGAGAGACAGGAGAUGGUCCUUUAUAAUGCAGUGUGAUCUGUGCUGCAAUAGAGUUUUGGAAGCUAGAAGUUCAAAACGAGGUGUUGGCAGCACCAUGCUCUCUCUGAAGAUGCUAGGAAGAAUCUGCUCCAUGCCUUUCCAUUCGCUUCUGGGGUUUCCUGCAAGCCCUGACAUUCCUUGGCUUGUAGAUGCAUCACCCCAGUUUCCGCCCCCAUCAUCACAUGGCCUCCUCUCUGUGUGUGCCUCUGCGUUCCCUCUAUUCUUCUUCUAAGGACACCGACACCAGUCAUAGUGGAUUAAGUGUCCACUCCUAACCAAUUACAUCUGCAACAACCCUAUUUCCAAAUAAAGUCACAUUCUAAGAUUCCUAGGGAGAACAUGAAUUUUUGGGGGUGUGUGGAUACUGUUCAACCUGGGACAUGGAGUAAAUAAAUGGCAAGGAAGAUUACAGAUGACUUUAAGCUAAAGAGGGAGAUAGGGUUAAAUGUAGGACUUUUUUUUUCCAGGACGGGAGAGGUUUAAACAUGUUACUACAUUGAAUAAAUGAAAUAACC